UCGCCGAUUCUCUAGGUGGGGCUAUCUGGAGCAUGUUUGUUCGACCUUAUUGCGUCUGAUAGAUAUAGCAUUUUUAUAAGAUAUUCCAUAUUUUUAAUAUCAAAACGUGAUGUAUCACACUGUUCUAGCAAUACGUUCCAGCAGUUGAUCGUUACAUCAGUGAUCAGUCGCUUGUUCUCGCGAAUAACUGUGAUAUCACAACCAUGAUCAUCACAGGUAUCAGUUUGGAAAAGAUGUAGAAGUCAAGCAACGUUGGUGUUGAUUAAGACUUGAAUGGAUGACCGCUUGGAAAUUUCCAAAAACAAUUUCUGUAUAAAACUGAAAACCUUAUUAACGAUAUCUAUAUGAUUAAAAACAAUAUAGAAAUAUGGAUAAUCCCAUUUAAUAUUUUAGGACAAAAAAUUCGGUGGGACAGAAGUUCUUGUAUUGUUCUCUUUAGAAAUUGUAAUAAAAAUAGUAUUUUGCAAUACACAUGCGAUUUACUAUCGGUUGAUUUUCUAAAGAAGAAUUUCAACGUCUAUAGCGUCAUCUAGUUUGCCUGAGAAAAUUGACAAUAUCAUGAAAGGAACCAAAAUACCUACAACACGUUUAAAUUAAAAACGUCUUGAAGCAUUUGAAGAAAAUUCGUUAUUCCGCAAGGAUAUUUAGGCGCAAAGUUCGCUAUACUGUGAGAAAUAUCAAAAUAGCGAUAUGAUGUACUAAACGUGGAAGCGAAUAAAGAAGAUGCACAAUAUAUACGCAGAAGACGACAUAUACAGGAUGCAGUACACUUAACGCUCGCAACACUCUUUGAAUUUCAGCUUUGUUGUUCAUCAAAUAUUAAACAAAAAUAAAUGAGUCCAUGUAGAAGUUUUCCCAACGAGGUUCCUUAAUUCGCGCAAGUACCCCGACGAGGAUGUUGCGAUUAUUUACGGCUGUCGCUUGUUGACCACCCGGUGAGCCUCCACUUCGCCGGGUCUUUAUCAUAUCACGCUCCCGGGUUCUAAUUUUACUCGCGUGCAACGAUAAAAUUCCUGAUGUUCAAAAGGAGCCACGUGUUCCGUGCUCGAAAUGGAAGGCGCCUGAAGCUCUCUUCCUCGCCGACCGACCGGUCGGCCGGUCGCGCGUCAAGCUCGUAAAUCGCCGAUAAGAUUUUUCCCUCGGGGCAGCCGUGCCGGAAGACUUCUUGAGGUCAUCGGCGCCGGCUUUUCGCUCCCAUCUCGUCCCGUCGCGUCGCGGUGGCGGCGACGGCAGCGGCGGCACGAAAGUGAGACGUACCGAUUUUAUUGCGCGCGAAGACGUCAACGUAUCGCGCCGAGGACAGUGCCGCAAAUAACGAGCCAUCAAAGUCAACAAUGACGCGCGGCACGAAUUUAUCGCAUCUGCCGGUGGAGGUAGACCUAUAAACAGAAAUCAUUAAGCGCGCCGAUCCUCCCGCGUUUGGUACACGCAUGAUACGUUUCCAUCUCUCGGGAUAAUUGAUUUCGAACGGCACCGGAUAGGAGCCGACCUCGCAGUCGCGUCCUGCCUCUCUUUCUCUCUGCAAAUGGCAUGAGUUUUCCGAGUUAUCCGAUCGUGACAGUCACGAUUGACCGCUGGAAAGUGGAGAUUUGACCUUUCGGACGCCGCGAGGUGAACGUGUAUUCGCGCACAAAUGCGAGGAAUCUACGCAGAGUUAACCACGUAAUGCUAUAGUCUACGGCCGUGAAAAAGAAAAAAGAUAGGGUGAAUGGCCUAAUUUUAUUGAUAAUGUCUCAAAUAUUGAAAAUCUUAAACUUUUUUUUAAUUAAAAGAUUAAAACUGUAUAUUUAAUUAAAUGUUAUAACAAUAAGCAUAUUUGGAAAAAAAAGUUGUACCAGUAACUAUAGGAAUGCAAUGAGAUAACGAUGUUUUUCGCAUUUUAGCUCAAAGUUAAAGCUUAAAUUUUAAUCUUUUAAAUAGUUCGUGAAAUUUUUUAAAUAUAAACAAGGAUUGAUUGAAAAUAAAGAAAAAAAUUUACAGAUAUAAAACAAACAAUCAUUUUAUCAUACAAAAUUCAAUCAUACAUGAUGGGGUCAUUUGUAACUUGAGAUAAUUUUUCAAAACGCUUUGGAUAAAGGACAUGCAUGAAUUAAAAUUAGGUUUGUUCACUGCCAAACUUUAUUGGGGAGAAGAUACUAUUAAAAUUUGUUAGGUAAAAAAUCACUUGAAAAUUGCACAGACUCAAUUUUCCAUUCUAGGAGUGAAUUUUUUACUCUUAUUAAAGUGACAAAUCAUUCGAAAAAUUGCAGAGGCACAAUUUAUAUUUUUUUUGUGAUAUUUUAUUUUACAAUAUUUACAGAGCCCUAUUUAAACAGAUGUUUGUAGUAUUUUUCAAAAAAGAGAACUGUGCUUUCUGUUUCGUGUAUAUAAAGUGUUAAGAUCGAAUUUUAUAAGUAUUUGGACAGCAAGUAGGCCAUUUAUCUCGUGUUCGAUUGAUGAUAAGAGAAUAGUUAAUAGCUUCGGAUACAUGCGUCUCUAUGAGUUAGAAUUCGGGUCCCGCUUGAGAUUGAAUUUUCAAACGUGAAACCACGUCUCUUAUUUGCGUCUCUCUGCAUGCUCCUGUAGGCCCCUUGGUGACAGUAACAAAUCCGACAUCGCGAAAUAGAAUCCAUGUCAGCUGAAACAUCCUUCUCGCUUUAUCACUUGCCAUGAAAGCUUCAUAAAUAAUAUUAUCGAUAAUAAUCAUAUUAUUAUAUCAAUGCGAUACUUCUUGCCUUCUCUUCAGCAUUGUGCAUCGAAAAGAAUAAGAUUAGAUUUUAAAGAUUACUCCGAUUGUCGAUGAGCCAAAUGUAACUUGUUCACAUCGUAAAAGCAAAUCAGUAGUGCGAGAUCACGGAUAUUUUACAUACGAUGUGACGGCGAAAAAGUCCUCAAUAAAAUUUUUCCCGAUAAAAUAAUUUCUAAUUAUAAUAGGAUUAUUGUAUCGAUCAAUGAAUAAAUAAAAAUAACUUAAUAUAAUUAAACAAUAGCAAAAGAAACCAAUAUUUGUCAAAACGAAUUUUGACGUGAAAUAAUAAUUUUGCAUAAAUUAUACAAUUCCUAGCUCAUGCAUUAUUUGCGAUUAUUUGCCGGUCUUGAAACACAGUUUUAAAGCUUAACCUUUAAACCGUAAUGUCCAUCUUACAGACCGUUAUUUAAACUUUAGUUAUCAAUAACUUGACAUGCUUAACUUCUUUGACAAGAAGCCUUCUAAACUCAUAGUACCUUCAUAUCUCAUCUGUCCCCAGCAUUGCAGUAGUCCCAUUGUCAUUCGCUGAAAACAUAUAAUAUGAAAUGGUUAAAAAAUUGUAAUAGUUCCACAUACCAGGAUUUACCGUUUGUGUUACUUUUAUUGCAAUAUUAAGCAUUUACGUAUUUCUUCAUCAUCGUUUUAUUUAACUCUUAUUUACUGGUGUAAAGUUAUAUUUUACUGUUGGGAAAGUUUUUACGGUUCAACUUUUUUAAGACUUUUAAAACUUUAAAAUGGAAAUAAUAAUUUUUUGAAUUUUACUGCUUCUUAUAAUUUGAAUGUUUCCGAAAUAUAAAUAUUAUAGUUCUUUACAAACUUUAUAGACACUUUGUAUAUAAGAUUUUUUUAUUAAUUCUCACAUUAAAAUAUCUUUCGCCGCCUCUCCUACUCACGAGUAUUUAGAAUAAUUGAAAAUAUACAUUUUUCAUUAUGAAAAAUUUAUAUAAUUAACGGAAACAUGAUAGCGGUCAGACCGCUGUUUACCAAUAAUAUGAUUUUUUUGAAUGUUAUAUUAUAGUUUAAAGAUUAAACCGGAAUAUCACUGAUUAAAUUGAUAAGCAAUUUAAUGAUAUUAAUAAGUAUUUUAGAAAAAAAAAUAUUGUAAAGAUUUAUUAAAUUAUUAAAGAGAUAAGACUUUUUCUUACUAACUUUUUAUAACAUUGACUACGUUCAAAUUUUAUUUCCUCGCAAUGAUCAUCAAUUUACCAUUGAUUUUCAUUACUCAAUUAUAAUCUUUUCAGAAUUACUAAGACACUGAGUUAGGAAUUGCAUAAUUUAAUCAAAAUUAUUAUUAUAGUACAAAUAAAUCCAAAUUUUUUUAAGCAGUUAAAAAAUUUUAAAUUAAUUUACUUUUUCUUUUGUGUAGUAAACAUAUAGUUAUUAAAAAUAACAUUUAUGUUAGUUUGGUAAAAGGUUCAACAUAACAUUAAAAAAUAUUCAAAAUUUAAGGGAAUAGUCCAGUAUUCCCUUAAUAGCGACAGAAAUAAUAAAGGAUAAGGUGCAUAUCCAAUAAUGUAUUCUUUACAAAUUCUAACAAGAAAAAAAAUGCUGCAAAAGCGUGCAAAUUAAUUUAUUUUUUUGUGGGAGAAAAUAUUAUAUCGUAUGUGCUCAUUUAAGUUUAAAAACAGUAAUUUAAAAGCAGUCUGACAACAACGCCUUGAAAGCCUUCGAAAGUGUGACAGUGAUGAUUUGGAGCAACUGCUUGCUGAGAAUUCGGUACAAGCGCAAAAAGAGCUUGCAAAGCAGUUAGAGGAGUAACGCAGCAAACUACUUCCAAACGCCUACACGAGAUGGAAAAGAUCCAAAAAGAAGGAAAAUGAUUCCGCAUGAACUCACAAAAAUUAACGAGUGUUUGUGUAACUUUCUCUUCCCAAUAAUAGCGUAAAAAAUCUUUUUCAUGCAAAAUUGUUGCAGACGAUAAAAAAAUGGAUACUUUUUCGCAAUCCAAAACAUAAGAAGUCAUGGAUAAAUUCCGGCGAAACAUCAACAUUAGUCACAAAGACCAAACGUCUCGGAAAGAUGGUUCUACUCUGCAUUUGAAGGAAUAUCAAAGAUUUUAUUUAUUAUGAGUUGGAACCGAGUAAAACAGUUACUGCGAACUUAUGACAAUAUCAAUUAAUCCGUUUGUGCCGCCUGGAAUUGGAAAGAAAGCGCCUGUGUACUGUUAAAUGAGAACUGUGAAAUUGUUGCUUGACAACACCAAGCCACACAUUUUUAUAACAUAAAAGACAUUAUAAUCAAUCUUGGGAUAUCUUGCAGCAACCGGCGUAUUCUACAGCACGUGCGAAUUAUUUUGGUCGAUGCAACAUGCCUUAUCCGAUAUGAAUUUUUAAUCAGUAGUCCAAAAAUGGUCUGACAACUUUAUCACGUCCAAAGACAUUGCAUUUUUCUGAAUUCUGAAUGGAAUUCAUAAACUGUACAAAAGGUGGCUUAAAAUAUUAUACUUAAUAGAAAGUAACGAUAAACAUUUUGAUUUAAAAAAUUUGUUUUACUUUCUUUUAAAAUAAAUCUUGAAUUUAGCUAAAAAAUUGAAUACAUUCGUACACCUAAUAUUAGGUAUCAAUUGUUAUUAGCUUCUUUCACUUAUAUUUGACAUUUUCAUCGCUCAAUUUAUAAUUAAAAUUGUUUAUUAAUACAAUUACAUUUUCAAAUAAACAAAAAUAUAUUUUAUUCUAAUUUAUAUAAAAAUUAAGUUUAAAUAUAUUAAUUAAUUUGCAAUUUAUUGUUUGAAAGUCUUAUAACUUUAAUAUUUUUCUUAAAUAGUCAUUUACUGGAUUAUUUGAUUAAAGGGCAAUGACCCUACUCCUUUUUCAUAUCGAGAAAAUUUACAAUCUUAAAUUUACGAGAGAGGAUCAUUUCGCGAUAAGUUCUGAAAUCCGCUUAAACCCGAUUUCGUCUUAAAUCAAUAUCGCGACAUUGAGAUUCCAUGAAGACGAAGGCGAUCUCCGUGGGAUCUCAGUCGUAUGAUUAUCCGAGUGUCUCGCGUCCGGAGAAAUAAAUCGCCGAGGACCUCGGCGACGACAAAGUGGCAACGGCCUCCGCUUUCGCGCGCGAGCGUUUCGCGUAUCGCGCGCGUAAAGACCCAUGAGACACCGUCUGUGCAAACUUUCGCGGAAUGUUCUUUGUCGGUCCUUUGUCGGAAUCGACAGUCAUCGUGUCGCGCGCGCGACGUGCCUCGUAUCCCCAAGAGUGUUCGGUGUCGUACGUAGAAGCGUGUACGUGCGAGUAUCCGCGACGAGCGCGGUGACAAGCAAUUAGUACUGGCAAUUAGCACUAAGCGAGAUCGCCACCGCCGUUGCGGAUCGUGCCAAGGAUGUGGCGCGAUACGCACCUCGAUACGCGCGAAUGACGCGCGUCCGGCAUUUAUCGGCCAGCAAUGAUUUUUACUCAGAUAAUUGAAGCCUCACGAUGUAAAAUAUAAAUGAUAGUUAAUUCCGCAGUCAAGAAAAAUUUAUCUCAAUUUAUACGCGGAUAAUUGGAGAGAGAGAAAAAAAAUGAAGGAACGAGAAGUGAAAUAUAUACACGCGUUAAAUAGUUUUAUAUUUUAUCGAGAGUUGCCAACGAUACCGGUAUCGAAUUUACAAGGUACACGCAUCGACGUAUUUACGGACAAGGCUUCGGAGCACUGGUUCAACCUUGCAACAUCGGCGUCGAAUUCUGUUGUAAACAGGCGCGGAUGCUCCUCUCGAUUAUGAGCACGCGCAAAUACAGCGCUUUCUCCUCAUCGCCUUCUGUGCGUCCUGAUCCAACCUAAUUAUCAUUAGUCCCACGCGAUACACGGCGUUGAACUCAGCUCUACUUUUCCAUGAUGUUACGAAAAAAAAUGAUACUUUUGGCAUUCUUGAUGAACAAAAAUGGUCUAGCCGGUUACUCGAGUUCUAGUCAUUACAGCGAAUCUUGGGCAUAUUUAUUGAUUAUUUUGAGAUAUUAGCGAUAAUAAACUCCAUGUAAAAAAUAUGUAAAAUUAAAUAAAUAACAUGUUUAAAAAUUACACAAUUUAUGCUAGAAAAAUAUAAAAUUGUGCUUUUUAAAAAAAUUGGUACUGUUUUGCUUCUAAUUGUGUUUCUAAAUACAUCACAUUAAAUGUAAAAUUAUAAUAUUAAUAAUAUAUCUUAUAGUUUUCAUAUAAAUGUAUAAUUUUUUCUAAUAUUUCAUAAACGUAAUAAAUCAGUGGAUUCUCG